rnacentral:rRNA from 1 species
UUCGGGGACAUUGGUGACAGGUGGUGCAUGGUUGUCGUCAGCUCGUGUCGUGAGAUGUUGGGUUAAGUCCCGCAACGAGCGCAACCCUUGUCUUUAGUUGCCAUCAUUAAGUUGGGCACUCUAGAGAGACUGCCAGGGAUAACCUGGAGGAAGGUGGGGAUGACGUCAAAUCAUCAUGCCCCUUAUGCUUAGGGCUACACACGUGCUACAAUGGGUAGUACAGAGGGUUGCCAAGCCGUAAGGUGGAGCUAAUCCCUUAAAGCUACUCUCAGUUCGGAUUGUAGGCUGAAACUCGCCUACAUGAAGCUGGAGUUACUAGUAAUCGCAGAUCAGAAUGCUGCGGUGAAUGCGUUCCCGGGUCUUGUACACACCGCCCGUCACACCACGGGAGUUGGAGACGCCCGAAGCCGAUUAUCUAACCUUUUGGAAGAAGGCGUCGAAGGUGGAAUCAAUAACUGGGGUGAAGUCGUAACAAGGUAGCCGUAUCGGAAGGUGCGGCUGGAUCACCUCCUUUCUAAGGA